CCUACGGGCGGCAGCAGUGAGGAAUAUUGGUCAAUGGACGAGAGUCUGAACCAGCCAAGUAGCGUGAAGGAUGACUGCCCUAUGGGUUGUAAACUUCUUUUAUAUGGGAAUAAAAUGUUCCACGUGUGGGAUUUUGUAUGUACCAUAUGAAUAAGGAUCGGCUAACUCCGUGCCAGCAGCCGCGGUAAUACGGAGGGUCCGAGCGUUAUCCGGAUUUAUUGGGUUUAAAGGGAGCGUAGGUGGAUUGUUAAGUCAGUUGUGAAAGUUUGCGGCUCAACCGUAAAAUUGCAGUUGAAACUGGCAGUCUUGAGUACAGUAGAGGUUGGCGGAAUUCGUGGUGUAGCGGUGAAAUGCUUAGAUAUCACGAAGAACUCCGAUUGCGAAGGCAGUUCACUGGACUGCAACUGACACUGAGGCUCGAAAGUGUGGGUAUCAAACAGGAUUAGAUACCCUGGUAGUC
rnacentral:rRNA from 1 species